rnacentral:rRNA from 1 species
CCUCACAACUAUAUCACCCUGCAACCCACAACUGGCAACCCCUGAAGCUAAGCAGGUGUGAGCCUGGUCAGUACCUGGAUGGGAAACCUCCUGGGAAAGCUGAGGUUGCUGCAGGAA